rnacentral:rRNA from 1 species
CCUACGGGUGGCAGCAGUGGGGAAUAUUGCACAAUGGGGGAAACCCUGAUGCAGCGACGCCGCGUGAGUGAAGAAGUAUUUCGGUAUGUAAAGCUCUAUCAGCAGGGAAGAAAAUGACGGUACCUGUUUAAGAAGCCCCGGCUAACUACGUGCCAGCAGCCGCAGUAAUAGUUAGGGGGCAAGCGUUAUCCGGAUUUACUGGGAGUAAAGGGAGCGUAGACGGCAGCACAAGUCUGGAGUGAAAUGCGGGGGCUUAACCCCGGAACUGCAUUGGAAACUGUGAGGCUAGAGUGAAGGAGAGGGAAGUGGAAUUCCUGGUGUAGCAGUGAAAUGCGUAGAUAUUAGGAGGAACACCAGUGGCGAAGGCGGCUUACUGGACUUUAACUGACGUUGAGGCUCGAAAGCGUGGGGAGCGAACAGGAUUAGAUACCCCAGUAGUC